CUUUAUAUUAAAAAAUUCACCAUAUGAUCCCUACCCUAUAAAUUUCCUAAAACUUUGUGCAAGCCCUACUGUUGCGAUUAAUACGAAAUGGAGGGAGUAUUUGUUUUCCUUUUGAAUUUUUAAACCACAUAGAUUAGUUGUUGCCAACUAUCGAUUCUUGAUACUAGGAGUACUAUUUAACAUCUAGGAAGUCAACUCUUUGUUUUCCUUUUAUAAUUUGCUGCUCCAAAAUUAAACUGUAGAUUUUUCUGUGAUAUUAUAAUAAAGAAGUCCUAAUAAUUUCCAUAUACAAUAGUGUUGAAAUGAUAUGGAGUAUAUUAUUAUAUUGUUGAGAUAGCAAUGGAAAUGAUAUUUGAUGUCAAAUGUUUAUGAAUCUAGAGUGGAUUGUAUGUAAGGUAUGCAAGAGACAUUGUUGUCGUAAAAAAUCGAGCUAUGUUACUUAAAUAGAUAAAAGUAUCAGGGUGUGGCUUGCACUGUCAAAUUAUGCAGCUAUACUAUGAUCUUGUUGAUUGGACACCUUCAGCAGGUACUCAUUCAAGUUAUUAAUGGUGCCUACUGACUUUGAUAGAAUUAUAUCAUUUGCCUUUAAUUAUUUUAUGGUAAUCUAUAUUUGCUCAAUGUGUUUUAGUUGUAAAAUUUGGUAAUCACUAUAACUUGCUCUUCAUUAUUUUGUGAAUUUGUAGUUGUGGUGAUUGAUUGUUCAUGCCCAAAGCUGCCUAUCGAUUGAAUGGAGAAGCUUGUCUUGAAAUGUGAAUAUGUUGUUUGUGGAGCGAUUGUUACUCAAGCUGAGUGUUUGAUGAUGAAAAACCUUUUGCAAAUAUCUUGCUAACCGGC